GACGAACGCUGGCGGCGUGCUUAACACAUGCAAGUCGAACGGAAAGGCCCUGCUUUUGUGGGGUGCUCGAGUGGCGAACGGGUGAGUAACACGUGAGUAACCUGCCCUUGACUUUGGGAUAACUUCAGGAAACUGGGGCUAAUACCGGAUAGGAGCUCCUGCUGCAUGGUGGGGGUUGGAAAGUUUCGGCGGCUGGGGAUGGACUCGCGGCUUAUCAGCUUGUUGGUGGGGUAGUGGCUUACCAAGGCUUUGACGGGUAGCCGGCCUGAGAGGGUGACCGGCCACAUUGGGACUGAGAUACGGCCCAGACUCCUACGGGAGGCAGCAGUGGGGAAUAUUGCACAAUGGGCGGAAGCCUGAUGCAGCAACGCCGCGUGCGGGAUGACGGCCUUCGGGUUGUAAACCGCUUUCGCCUGUGACGAAGCGUGAGUGACGGUAAUGGGUAAAGAAGCACCGGCUAACUACGUGCCAGCAGCCGCGGUGAUACGUAGGGUGCGAGCGUUGUCCGGAUUUAUUGGGCGUAAAGGGCUCGUAGGUGGUUGAUCGCGUCGGAAGUGUAAUCUUGGGGCUUAACCCUGAGCGUGCUUUCGAUACGGGUUGACUUGAGGAAGGUAGGGGAGAAUGGAAUUCCUGGUGGAGCGGUGGAAUGCGCAGAUAUCAGGAGGAACACCAGUGGCGAAGGCGGUUCUCUGGGCCUUUCCUGACGCUGAGGAGCGAAAGCGUGGGGAGCGAACAGGCUUAGAUACCCUGGUAGUCCACGCUGUAAACGGUGGGUACUAGGUGUGGGGUCCAUUCCACGGGUUCCGUGCCGUAGCUAACGCUUUAAGUACCCCGCCUGGGGAGUACGGCCGCAAGGCUAAAACUCAAAGGAAUUGACGGGGCCCCGCACAAGCGGCGGAGCAUGCGGAUUAAUUCGAUGCAACGCGUAGAACCUUACCUGGGUUUGACAUGGAUCGGGAGCACUCAGAGAUGGGUGUGCCUCUUUUGGGGUCGGUUCACAGGUGGUGCAUGGCUGUCGUCAGCUCGUGUCGUGAGAUGUUGGGUUAAGUCCCGCAACGAGCGCAACCCUUGUUCACUGUUGCCAGCACGUUAUGGUGGGGACUCAGUGGAGACCGCCGGGGCCAACUCGGAGGAAGGUGGGGAUGACGUCAAGUCAUCAUGCCCCUUAUGUCCAGGGCUUCACGCAUGCUACAAUGGCUGGUACAGAGAGUGGCGAGCCUGUGAGGGUGAGCGAAUCUCGGAAAGCCGGUCUCAGUUCGGAUUGGGGUCUGCAACUCGACCUCAUGAAGUCGGAGUCGCUAGUAAUCGCAGAUCAGCAACGCUGCGGUGAAUACGUUCCCGGGGCU
rnacentral:rRNA from 1 species